rnacentral:rRNA from 1 species
GGGGGGGGGGGGGGGGGGGCGGGGGGGGGGGGGGGGGGGGGGGGGGGUCGGGGGGGGGGGCGGACGGGGGCGGGAGGGGGGGGAACCUGCGCGUAGGGUCGGAAUGACUCCCCGAAAGGGGUGCGAAUACCGGAUAAUGUCUGCGGACCAAAGAUUGAUCGCCUUUGGAUGGGCCCGCGUUGGCUUAGCGAGGUGGUAGGGUAAAAGCCUACCAAGGCGACGAUCCAUAGCUGGUCGGAGAGGAUGACCCGCCACACUGGGACUGAGACACGGCCCAGACUCCUACGGGAGGCGGCAGUGGGGAAUAUUGGACAAUGGGCGAAAGCCUGAUCCAGCAAUGCCGCGUGAGUGAUGAAGGCCUUAGGGUUGUAAAGCUCUUUUACCCGGGAUGAUAAUGACAGUACCGGGAGAAUAAGCUCCGGCUAACUCCGUG